rnacentral:tRNA from 1 species
GAGUUGUAGUUCAGUCGGUUUAGAACGCCUGCCUGUCACGCAGGAGGCCGCGGGUUCGAGUCCCGUCAACUCC